AUACGGAGGAUGCAAGCGUUAUCCGGAUUUAUUGGGUUUAAAGGGUGCGUAGGCGGUUUGCUAAGCGGGAGGUGAAAUGCCGGCGCUCAACGUCGGAAGUGCCUCCCGAACUGGUGGACUUGAAUGACUCUGCCGUGGGAGGAAUGUGUAGUGUAGCGGUGAAAUGCUUAGAGAUUACACAGAACACCGAUUGCGAAGGCAUCUCACGAAGGGUUGAUUGACGCUGAGGCACGAAAGCGUGGGGAUCAAACAGGAUUAGAUACCCUGGUAGUCCACGCCGUAAACGAUGGGCGCUCGUCGUCGGCGGCAGACAGUCGGCGGCCAAGCGAAAGCGAUAAGCGCCCCACCUGGGGAGUACGGUCGCAAGGCUGAAACUCAAAGGAAUUGGCGGGG
rnacentral:rRNA from 1 species